GAUGAAGAACGUAGCGAAAUGCGAUACUUGGUGUGAAUUGCAGAAUCCCGUGAACCAUCGAGUCUUUGAACGCAAGUUGCGCCCGAAGCCAUUAGGCCAAGGGCACGCCUGCCUGGGCGUCACACGUCGUUGCCCCCCCAUCUACUCCUUCGGGAUUGCGGGGGGCGGAUGAUGGCCUCCCGUGCGCCUCGUCGCGCGGUUGGCAUAAAUGCCAAGUCCUCGGCGACGCACGCCACGACAAUCGGUGGUUGCGAAACCUCGGUUGCCCGUCGUGUGCGGUCGUCGCGCAUCGAGGGCUCGAAAAAAUUGCCGGGCUCCGGCUCGGCUUUCAACGCGACCCCAGGUCAGGCGGGGUUACCCGCUGAAUUUAAGCAUAUCAAUAAGCGGAGGA
rnacentral:misc_RNA from 1 species